AGAGUUUGAUCAUGGCUCAGAUUGAACGCUGGCGGCAGGCCUAACACAUGCAAGUCGAACGGUAACAGGAAGCAGCUUGCUGCUUCGCUGACGAGUGGCGGACGGGUGAGUAAUGUCUGGGAAGCUGCCUGAUGGAGGGGGAUAACUACUGGAAACGGUAGCUAAUACCGCAUAAUGUCGCAAGACCAAAGAGGGGGACCUUCGGGCCUCUUGCCAUCGGAUGUGCCCAGAUGGGAUUAGCUUGUUGGUGGGGUAACGGCUCACCAAGGCGACGAUCCCUAGCUGGUCUGAGAGGAUGGCCAGCCACACUGGAACUGAGACACGGUCCAGACUCCUACGGGAGGCAGCAGUGGGGAAUAUUGCACAAUGGGCGCAAGCCUGAUGCAGCCAUGCCGCGUGUAUGAAGAAGGCCUUCGGGUUGUAAAGUACUUUCAGCGGGGAGGAAGGGAGUAAAGUUAAUACCUUUGCUCAUUGACGUUACCCGCAGAAGAAGCACCGGCUAACUCCGUGCCAGCAGCCGCGGUAAUACGGAGGGUGCAAGCGUUAAUCGGAAUUACUGGGCGUAAAGCGCACGCAGGCGGUUUGUUAAGUCAGAUGUGAAAUCCCCGGGCUCAACCUGGGAACUGCAUCUGAUACUGGCAAGCUUGAGUCUCGUAGAGGGGGGUAGAAUUCCAGGUGUAGCGGUGAAAUGCGUAGAGAUCUGGAGGAAUACCGGUGGCGAAGGCGGCCCCCUGGACGAAGACUGACGCUCAGGUGCGAAAGCGUGGGGAGCAAACAGGAUUAGAUACCCUGGUAGUCCACGCCGUAAACGAUGUCGACUUGGAGGUUGUGCCCUUGAGGCGUGGCUUCCGGAGCUAACGCGUUAAGUCGACCGCCUGGGGAGUACGGCCGCAAGGUUAAAACUCAAAUGAAUUGACGGGGGCUCGCACAAGCGGUGGAGCAUGUGGUUUAAUUCGAUGCAACGCGAAGAACCUUACCUGGUCUUGACAUCCACGGAAGUUUUCAGAGAUGAGAAUGUGCCUUCGGGAACCGUGAGACAGGUGCUGCAUGGCUGUCGUCAGCUCGUGUUGUGAAAUGUUGGGUUAAGUCCCGCAACGAGCGCAACCCUUAUCCUUUGUUGCCAGCGGUCCGGCCGGGAACUCAAAGGAGACUGCCAGUGAUAAACUGGAGGAAGGUGGGGAUGACGUCAAGUCAUCAUGGCCCUUACGACCAGGGCUACACACGUGCUACAAUGGCGCAUACAAAGAGAAGCGACCUCGCGAGAGCAAGCGGACCUCAUAAAGUGCGUCGUAGUCCGGAUUGGAGUCUGCAACUCGACUCCAUGAAGUCGGAAUCGCUAGUAAUCGUGGAUCAGAAUGCCACGGUGAAUACGUUCCCGGGCCUUGUACACACCGUCCGUCACACCAUGGGAGUGGGUUGCAAAAGAAGUAGGUAGCUUAACCUUCGGGAGGGCGCUUACCACUUUGUGAUUCAUGACUGGGGUGAAGUCGUAACAAGGUAACCGUAGGGGAACCUGCGGUUG
rnacentral:rRNA from 1 species